AUUGAACGCUGGCGGCAUGCCUUACACAUGCAAGUCGAACGGCAGCACGGGGGCAACCCUGGUGGCGAGUGGCGAACGGGUGAGUAAUGCAUCGGAACGUGCCCAGUAGUGGGGGAUAACCCGGCGAAAGCCGGGCUAAUACCGCAUACGACCUAAGGGUGAAAGCGGGGGACCGUAAGGCCUCGCGCUAGUGGAGCGGCCGAUGUCUGAUUAGCUAGUUGGCGGGGUAAAAGCCCACCAAGGCGACGAUCAGUAGCUGGUCUGAGAGGACGACCAGCCACACUGGGACUGAGACACGGCCCAGACUCCUACGGGAGGCAGCAGUGGGGAAUUUUGGACAAUGGGCGCAAGCCUGAUCCAGCCAUGCCGCGUGCGGGAAGAAGGCCUUCGGGUUGUAAACCGCUUUUGGCAGGAACGAAACGGCGCAAGCCAAUACCUUGCGCUAAUGACGGUACCUGCAGAAUAAGCACCGGCUAACUACGUGCCAGCAGCCGCAGUAACAC
rnacentral:rRNA from 1 species